rnacentral:rRNA from 1 species
GUCCAGACUCCUACGGGAGGCAGCAGUGAGGAAUAUUGGUCAAUGGGCGAGAGCCUGAACCAGCCAAGUCGCGUGAGGGAGUACUGCCCUAUGGGUUGUAAACCUCUUUUGUCGGGGAGCAAAAGCCGGACGUGUCCGGCUGUGAGAGUACCCGAAGAAAAAGCAUCGGCUAACUCCGUGCCAGCAGCCGCGGUAAUACGGAGGAUGCGAGCGUUAUCCGGAUUUAUUGGGUUUAAAGGGUGCGUAGGCGGGCUUUUAAGUCAGCGGUAAAAAUUCGGGGCUCAACCCCGUCCGGCCGUUGAAACUGGGGGCCUUGAGUGGGCGAGAAGUAUGCGGAAUGCGCGGUGUAGCGGUGAAAUGCAUAGAUAUCGCGCAGAACUCCGAUUGCGAAGGCAGCAUGCCGGCUCCACACUGACGCUGAGGCACGAAAGCGUGGGUAUCGAACAGGAUUAGAUACCCCAGUAA